UGGGGAAUAUUGGACAAUGGGCGAAAGCCUGAUGCAGCGACGCCGCGUGAGCGAUGAAGCCCUUCGGGGUGUAAAGCUCUUUCGGCAGGGAAGAUAAUGACGGUACCUGCAGCAGCAGCUGCGGCUAACUACGUGCCAGCAGCCGCGGUAAUACGUAGGCAGCAAGCGUUGUUCGGAGUUACUGGGCGUAAAGGGUGCGUAGGCGGCUAUUUAAGUUUGGUAUGAAAUCUCCCGGCUCAACCGGGAGGGUGCGCCGAAUACUGAGUGGCUAGAGUGCGGGAGAGGAAAGUGGAAUUCCUGGUGUAGCGGUGAAAUGCGUAGAUAUCAGGAGGAACACCGGUGGUGUAAACGGCUUUCUGGACCGUAACUGACGCUGAGGCACGAAAGCGUGGGUAGCAAAC
rnacentral:rRNA from 1 species